rnacentral:rRNA from 1 species
AGAGUUUGAUUCUGGCUCAGGAUGAACGCUAGCGGCAGGCCUAAUACAUGCAAGUCGAGGGGCAGCGGGGGUAGCAAUACUCGCUGGCGACCGGCGCACGGGUGCGCAACACGUAUGCAACUUUCCUUCAACUGGAAAAUAGCCCGAAGAAAUUCGGAUUAAUAUUCCAUAGUUAUAUGAAAUGCAUCAUUUUAUAUUUAAAGCUCAGGCGGUUGAAGAUGGGCAUGCGUUCGAUUAGCUAGUUGGUGAGGUAAUGGCUCACCAAGGCUACGAUCGAUAGGGGAUCUGAGAGGAUUAACCCCCACACUGGUACUGAGACACGGACCAGACUCCUACGGGAGGCAGCAGUAAGGAAUAUUGGACAAUGGAGGCAACUCUGAUCCAGCCAUGCCGCGUGAAGGAUGUAGGUCCUAUGGAUUGUAAACUUCUUUUGAACGGGAGAAAACCUUCGGUCGUGUACCGAAGCUGAUAGUACCGUUAGAAUAAGGGUCGGCUAACUUCGUGCCAGCAGCCGCGGUAAUACGAAGGACCCGAGCGUUAUCCGGAUUUAUUGGGUUUAAAGGGUGCGUAGGCGGAAUGGUAAGUCAGUGGUGAAAUCUUGUGGCUUAACUGCAAAACUGCCAUUGAUACUGCCAAUCUUGAGUACAUUUGAUGUGGGCGGAAUGUGCCAUGUAGUGGUGAAAUACUUAGAUAUGGCACAGAACACCGAUCGCGAAGGCAGCUCACAAAACUGUUACUGACGCUGAGGCACGAAAGCGUGGGGAUCAAACAGGAUUAGAUACCCUGGUAGUCCACGCCUUAAACUAUGAUUACUCGAUGUGUGCGAUACACAGUACGCGUCUAAGCGAAAGCGUUAAGUAAUCCACCUGGGGAGUACGGUCGCAAGAUUGAAACUCAAAGAAAUUGACGGGGGCCCGCACAAGCGGAGGAGCAUGUGGUUUAAUUCGAUGAUACGCGAGGAACCUUACCUGGGCUUGAAAGUUAGUGAAUGCUGUGGAAACAUGGCAGGCCGCGAGGACACGAAGCUAGGUGCUGCAUGGCUGUCGUCAGCUCGUGCCGUGAGGUGUUGGGUUAAGUCCCGCAACGAGCGCAACCCCUAUCUUUAGUUGCCAGCGAGUAAUGUCGGGGACUCUAAAGAAACUGCCCGUGCAAACGGUGAGGAAGGUGGGGAUGACGUCAAGUCAGCACGGCCCUUACGUCCAGGGCUACACACGUGCUACAAUGGCGAGUACAAAGGGCAGCUACAUGGUGACAUGAUGCUAAUCUCUAAAACUCGUCUCAGUUCGGAUUGAAGUCUGCAAUUCGACUUCAUGAAGCUGGAUUCGCUAGUAAUCGAAUAUCAGCAAUGAUUCGGUGAAUACGUUCCCGGGCCUUGUACACACCGCCCGUCAAACAAUGGAAGCUGAGGGUACUUAAAGUCGAUAACCGCAAGGAGUCGCCUAGGGUAAAAUCGGUAACUGGUGUUAAGUCGUAACAAGGUA